rnacentral:lncRNA from 1 species
AAACCACACAAAACAUAUAAGACAAUCAAACAAACAAACAAAACAAAACAAAACCAAAAUAAAGUGUCCAGUCCAAUUAUAGUCCAAAAUAAAAGGUACGGAAAUGUAAACCUAUACUAAUCCUAAACUACACUCUAAUGCUUUACCCGAUGCCUCGGGCCUUGAUGACGAACCUCCUUUGCAUACAUGAUACUUCGGGGCAUUCCCCGGACAAAUCAAUACAAAUUCCUUGGGGCAUUCCCCAGCCAAAUGAGUACAAUUGAUCCAAAUACGAUAAACAAAAUCACUUAACAAGUAUUCCAAGCCUUCCACAAUCCACAAGUUAUAAAUUUUCCUUCCCGAGCCUACCAUUUACCUACCCCUCUCGACCUAUUAUGGCAUCAUUACAUUCAACGACAUCAAUGAAUCAAAACAACAAAAGCUUGGUUUUUAUCAAUUUUCAACUUUCGUCCCAACUUACUUCCAAUUGAGUUUAACUCAUUCCCUUAUUCAAUUUAAACAAUCAAACAAUCAAUAUUAACGACCUCAUAUGAUGAUCCAAGCAAAUCAAAAUCAACAAAAGAAAAUUGUACACACGAUGAGUUUUACCACACAAACUAUCACAUAAAUUAAAAUUAACAUGAGAUGAGAAAUGAACCUUUACUCAAUUGAAAAUCCUCUUUGGAUUGAAAAUCUUCAUUUACUGUAAUUUCACCAUACUCGAAGAAACUGAAUGAGUCACUUUUGACGAGAGAAACAGAUUUCAACCGGAAACCUUGACCAAGACUCGAAUUCGAAUGACACCGCAAACUAAGGAUCCAAUUGUUCCGAUUCUAUUCUGAAAUAGAGUACCAUCCAUCCAACCGAUAAAAUAUGCAUUUAGAGUGGUUUUCCAGUGGGUUUCAAACUGAAUUAAUAGAGGAUGAGGCUGUUUUCCAAUGGAUACUCAGCGAAAAGGGGGACGGAAUGGCUGUUGGCCGUGAUUUGGUCAGAAAAUUAGAGAAAAGGGGUAGAGCUAGUAGUCAUUGAAAAAAAUGCAGUGGGUUUUCGAGCUAAAAGGUGUUUCCUCGGUGGGUUCCGGCGAGACUCCGGCGGUGGGUGAUAGGUUUUUGCUGGAUUUUGAGAGAAACGGAUCGGGUUUAGGUGAUGGCGAGUUAUUUGCUAGAUUUUCGGAGAGAAACUCAUCGGAAAAUUCUAUGAAAACUCUUUCGAUCUCUGUUUCUUGUUUCUUCUCUCUCCCUCUAUCUUUCUUAGGGUAUGCGUGUUCAUGGUGUGUUUUGCUGUGAUUUGCGCAUGAAAAGAAAAAUGGAGCAGACUCCCCAGUUUUGGUUUCUCCCCAGCCUGUCUUCUCUCUUUGUCUAUAAAAAUAGUGUGUUCUUGUGCGAGUGUGUUUAUGGUGAGGAUGAAAAAGGAAAAUAGAGUAUCUUUUCCUUCAAAAGAAAGGACCCCCUUCCCAAAAAUGGAAAAUCUCCCCUUUUAUCCAUGGUCCUCCUUUUUAUUUUUGUUUUCUUCUUUUCUUUUUUAUUAUUAUUCUAAAUGUGUGCAUAUUAUUAGUGGCUUGUGGAAAAAAUCAGUAUGACGUGUGCUUUUUAUAUGUAUUCAAUGAAAAAUAAGGAGUGAGGUGUUGAGGUGGCAUGGUGAGGUGUCAAUUCUUUAUAGAUUUGGUUAUUUUUUUUGUCCUAUUUUUUAAAAAGUUAUUGAAUAGGGUAGGGUGAGUAAUAAAAUGGAAGAAGAUGAUAAAAAUAAUUUUUAACAGGACAAAAUUACGUGUCUACAUUAUGCCUCCUAUGUAUGUAAAGGUGUUUUCAUACAAAGAAAUAGACAACUAGAUAAAAUUUUAGCCCGGUCAUUAUUCAAAAUGAUGGAACAAAAGGAAAGAGGGCCACUGAGUCUAUAUCCGGACAUCCUAUCUACCCAUGUUAUGAGAGAAACCAGACACAGAUAUCACCAGGAAAAGGAGAAAGACUAUACCGAGUUGGAGAGUCGAGUGAGGUUUCAUCGAGGUUCUGGUCUGCGGCUAUGUCAUUACUUCAGGAAAAAAAAGAAAAAUUACAAGUUAAAACAUCAAUGAAAUUACAAAAAUCCCAUGUAUGUAACUUAUUUUGGACUUCUUGACUUGAGUUUCAUCACCCUAUUCUUCAGGCGGGCUCCUGACUUGUAAUUUUUUCAACUUUUUUCUUGGCUUUCAAUUUCUUCACUUUGUUGCUUUGACUUUCCAUUUAUUCACCCUGCUCUUUAGGUAGGUUUCGGACUUGUCAUUUCAUAACCCUGUUCUUCAGGUGGGAACCUGACUUUCAAUUUCAUUACCUUGUUGUUUAACUUUAAAUUUCAUCACCUUUGUUCUUUAAGCGGGCUCCUGACUUUCAAUUUUCAUCACUCUGUUCUCCAGGCGAGCUCCCGACUUUUAAUUUCAUCACCCUGUUCUUCAGGCGGGCUCCUUACUUGAAAUUUCAUCACUCUAUUCUUUGGGUGAGCUCCUGACUUUUAAUUAUAUCACCCUGUUCUUCAGGCGGGCUCCUGACUUGUAAUUUCAUCACUCUGUUCUCCGGGUGAGCUCCUGACUUUCCAUUUAUCACUCUUUUCUUCAGGCGGGCUCCUGACUUUUAAUUUUCAUCACUCUGUUCUUCGGGAGAGCUCUCGACUUUUAAUUUCAUCACCUUGUUCUUUGGCGGGCUCCUGACUUGUAAUUUCAUCACUCUGCUCUCCGGGCGAGCUCCCGACUUUUAAUUUGAUCACCCUAUUCUUCAGGUGGGGUCCUGACUUGCAAUUUCAUCACUCUAUUCUCCGGGCGAAAUUCUAACUUUCAAUUUCAUCACCCCUAUUCUUCAAGUGGGCUCCUAACUUAUAACUUCAUCACCCUGUUCUUCAGGCAGGCUCCUGGAACCAAAAUCAAAACUAGAACGAAAAUUAUCCCAAACAAAGAUUAUGAUAUAGAAAGAUUUCAUUUAUUCAUUUUUUAUGAAAGUAAUGUCCCAUUUUUCAGGAGGGUCCUGAACAUAAAGCAAUGUCCCAUUUUCCAGGAGGGUCCUGAACAUAAAGUAAAUUCCCAUUUUCUAGGAGGGUUCUGAACAUAAAGUAAACUCCUAUUUUUCAGGAGGGUCCUGAACAUAAAGUAAAUUCCCAUUUUUAGGAGGAUCUUGAACAUAACUCUCAUUUUCUAGGAGGGUCCUGAACAUAAGGUAAAUUCUUAUUUUUUAGGAGGGUUUUGAACAUAAAGUAAAUUCUCAUUUUCUAGGAGGGUCCUGAAGUAAAGUUCUUGAUAACAGGCAUUAAAUUUUUGUUUUUGCCGCAGUUUAUCAUCAAAAGCUUUUGUGGGUGUCAUACCAAAUCAUAACUACUUGCAACAGUGCGUAAUGCAAAGAUAAAUCCAGAUCCUGAUCAACAAAUUCUCGUUUUGAGGGUAAUGUUAAAUAACUGAGGCCAAUAACUCCUUCUCUUAAGAAUGAAAGUGAAAGGUUCUUGCUAAAAGUGCAUUUUUUAAGAAUUAAUGAUUCAAAUUAGGAAGUGCACCUCCUAGCCGUGAGACAUGAAAGAACCAAAUUAGAGAAUUUGUCUCUAAGGUGUACAAGAUGAUGAGUUUUACCACCAUUACGAUUACCAAACCCGUACAACAACAUUGCUUUUACAUUUGUAAAAAUGAGGAAUUGCACCUCUGGAUAUUUGCGCUUUGAAGCCUUUGAUUUGAAGGCAGCAGUUGUUCCUAUUUUAUACAAAGGAAACUUAUGAGUUUAAAAUAGGAUGGUUGGCUUGCGGCUUUGGGUUUUUGGCGAUUUCUCUUGCACUUGUCUAAUUAACCUUGCUUCCAACCAUUAUCAUAUAUCGUUGACUUGAUGCAUCAUUGUCCUAAACCCAGAUUAGUAAGAGUGACUCUGAAACAAACAUAAUAUCUCUGCUUUUCCAGGUUUCUCAGUUACCCUUUGAACCCUGGUAUUUCAAUGAGUUCCCAGACUUGUCUGUUGACAAAACUUUCUGCUUGCCUUAUUUCGGCUCACAAUCAUGUCUCUUUCAUAUACUGGCCUUUUGACUUGCUUUGUGCAAUUGAAGAAGCUAGUAGUCAGUUUCAAAAUUCUUUCUCACUUAUUUUGACAUGGACUUGACUCAAAGACAAAAAAAAAUGACAAUGAUUUUUUUAUUUGGAUAGCUGACUCAAGAAAAUAAAAUGAAAACAUAAAGAAGAAAGAAAAGACAAUGAACGUCCCCAUUUGAAAUAAAGAAACGAAGAAUUUAUCUAAAAAUGACAGUCAACUCUAAUGAUUAUGCCAUGCAUUUUGGAUUAAUUUGCCUGAUCUUUCCAUCCACACUUUCUUCCGGUUGUUGUUGAGUCAAAGUCCUUGAAACUGAGUUAUUUCCUUAGGUCAAUUGCAUUUAAGACCUCAUUUGGCUAGUGACACCUUGAAGGAUUUUUGCCAACAAGCCUCUUUUAUUUUUCUCUCAGCUCGCCACUGUCUUAUGGUGUCCGUGAGGGUUUUUCACCAAUAAGACUCUCUCAUUUUUAUAUCUCUCAACUUACCAUCGCCUUACGGUGCCCGUGAGAGUUUUCACCAAUAAGGAUCUCUUAUUUUUGUUUCUCUCUUGAUUCCUUAUGCUGAGGAAGACAAAUAGUUCCCUAAAUCCAUCCUCAUAUCCAUUGCAUACUUAGCCUUAACAUCUUUAAAGAUUGAUCUGAGGGUUUAUCUUUGGUUGUAACUCGGCUUUUGGAUAAGGAAGAAAAAAAGGAUGGCAUGAGGCUCAAACAACACUUAAAGUGGGGUAGGACUUACAACUUUUGAAAUCGACUCAAAUAAUAAAGAUUAACUCAUGCCCUAGUUUUUUUUGACUGGGCAAUUCUAAAUUGUUCAUUUGGUUGGACCAAGCCCAGUGUAGGGCAUCCUACGUAUCUCACCCCCAAGAGAGGAGAAUCAGGUCAUGCAUAGUUCUGACAACUUGUUCUUUUGCUUGAUUCUGACUUUUGUUUUCUUUUUUUCUUUUAGGACAUUUUGACUAUUUUUUUUUCUUGACACUCUUUGCUUUUCUUUCCUUUUGGACACAUUUUCUCUCUUUUUUUUUUGAAACUUUUCUGACUCUAUUCCUUUGCUUGACACUUAUCUUUUGAGCUUUGUUGACUCUAUCUUGAUUUCAAAAAAAGGGUAUGAAAUAAAAUAGAAUUAAAGCUCAAAUGGGGUAAACAAAGGAUGACACGGUGUUUGGAUAGCCGAAUGAAAUGCCUUCGUCAUAUCAAUCCUUGAAAAUAUAAGUACAUAUCAUGCAAUAUGAAAUAAAAAAUGAAGAUUAUUUGUGACACUUUUUACAACACUAACUUAACUGAUCUUGUGCAUCACUGCUUCUUCUACAAUUGUCAAACAUACAACUCCACCUUUUGUUGUACAUCCCUCACAUUGAGUGACUCAUGCCUUCGUGGAAUUAAUUUUCUUUCUGUUCUUCUUGAUAUAGGAUCACACAUUUUCUUACCUAAUUGAGAUAUGUCUUUCAAUUGACGACCAAGUUAUUCUUGUAAUUCUCAAAAUAUUUACCUUAAUUUUGAAAGAAGGCUUUAACAUGGUCACCAAAUGUGUCAAUACUCUAUCAAUAUCUCAAAAGCCUUUUUUUCUAAUUCUAACCCCCUAAUUCAAAGUUCAUGCUCAAAUUAGACUUUAAGAUCUAGUGGAAAAUUCUGCAAACAUGUCAUAUCACUAGAGCCAACAUAAAAUAAACUAUGUAAAGAAAACAAAUAAACAACACAUAUUUAAAAUACAAAGGAAAAAGGGAUAUUCUAUUUAGUUAAAAUAAAAGAUAUAAAGGGUUUAACAUGAACGACAAAGGGACAAAACAACAUGGAUCCCGAACUACAACCCUAAAAUAAUUUAGAAAAUAGAAAAAAAAAAUGAAACGCACUGCCAGACAUCUUCCUAGUAGGGAGAGGGGUGACUUCUUAAUUUCUCAGCCUGGCAACUUAGCCACUGGUUUGCAUAUCAGCAUAAAUAGAGCUUAUCUCACUGUCAAUGUUCUACACCAUAAUUUCUCUUUUCAAAUCUCGACAAUCUUCAAUACUAUAACCCUGAGCAUCAGAAUGAUAGCACAUCAUGCAUUAGGAUCAAAAUUUCUUGAAUGGGGAUUAAGAGUGUGCCCAGGGAGAGGACUGAUAAUGCCCCAUUGUACCAAUCUCUAAAAUAAAUUGACAUAUGACUUUUCAAUUGGUGUGAAUCUAUCUUUCGACUUCUGCCUCAUUUCAUUAUUUGGAUUGGAUAAAAAAUGGGGCCUAGAAGGACUUUGGUAUGUUUGUAGAGUUAGAGGAUGACUUUGGGGAGUUGGUGCGUGCCAUUGUGAGUAAGAAGGGAGUUGAACAUAUGGUUGUGUGUAAUAUACUAGAUAUGGAGGUGGGAAAAUGAAGUAUAAUGGAUUUUGGUAGUGAUUAUAGAGAGCUUGUGUAUGAACUUGGGCUUGAGACUAACAGUAACGACGAUAUCGCUUUCUUGGAUGUGCCAGUUCUCCAACUACAUUGGCAGUUGCAUAUUUCUCAUUCUUCUUUCCUCCAAUUUCCCUUAAUUGAUUGCAAUAUUAUCCUAAAUGUUUCACGAAUUCCCCAUGUCUACUUGCUCCUCAAAUUUCGACAUCUCAAGGAUUGGAGGGGGGUUAACACUUGAUGACAUGCCCCAGUAUUUGUAUGUAACAUCUUCUUUACCCACAAGUCCUAGAGAACUUUUCAUAGCAUUUUCUGCACUUUUUAUCUUUCCAACCAUUUUCUUUGACUCUUUUGGCACACUAGGCUUCUUGUUAAGAAAUUUUGGUGGUCUAGUUAACUUAAAAGUAGGCUCAGGAGUAUAACAAUGAUCACCAAGAGUAUUGGACAUGGGUCCACUAGCAGAUUGGGCAGCACAACCAUUGAAUUGAUAGACAAAGUGGAAGCCUCAGUAAAAGGUUAAGCAAUAAAAGCACAGGCAGUAUGUGGUGCUGUCAAUGUAGCAGGCUUAUACUGAGAAGCUAUAGGAAGAGUGGUAGAACUAUCGAGAUGUUGUUGGCUUGGAAGGAAUUUUGAGUUACGUUGUAGUGCAUCAAUAACAAUAGGAAACUGACUUUACUAUUUAGAUGGAAAACUUGAGGUAUUUGUAUGAUCAAUAACAGAAAAUAGAGGGCAAGGCAACCCACUGGCCCAAGAUCGAUACAUUUUCAUCAUUUGUUGUCUUAGUCUCAAAUUUUCUUCUUUUAAACUCUUAUUUUCCUGCCACUUUGUUUGAUCCAUGAGGUCACUCUCCUAUCCUUGUUGGACACAGCUAAACCUUCCUUAGAUUUGGUGUGAAGUGAAGGACUAGCUACAAUGCCACAAACCAACCUCCUUAAACUAACUAAAUCAACAGAAAACAAAUGCAUUAGAGUUCAACAUUUUUUUCAAAUCCUUUUUUAUCUUUUUCAAAAGAUCACCGAACCCAAGAAAAUCGUCUACGUAUCUCACUCCUGAGAGAGGAGACUCAAGUGUGCAUAGUUCGUGAAGUCUUGCCAAAAUGGUCAAUGAAAUUCUUUUUCUUUUAUUUUUAUUUUUCAUGAAACUUUAAGAAGAAAAGAAAAUAACAAUUUCUCAAAAGAAUUUACGAAAAUCCUUUUGAAUUUUUUAGCUUUAACAUCUCUAUACUAAAUGAAAUCUAUGAUUACCAAAGAAAAAUCUUUUUGGGUUUUCAAUUUUGAAUUUUGUACGAAAAAAAAAUUUAAACCUAUUAAAGGAAAAUCUUUUUGUAGUUUUUUUCUUGUAAAGAUGUAUAUGAAACACCUACUCUAAAUGAAGAGUGAAGAAAAUCUUUUUGAAUUUUUUUUCAGAUUCCUAUACAAAAUGAAACCAAUGAUAACCAAAGAAAAAUCUUUUUGGAUUUUCAAUUUUGAAUUUCAUACAAAAAUAAAACUUGAAAAUAUUAACGAAAAAUAUUUUUUGUGGUUUUCUUUUAGAGAUAUAUAAGACACUUACUCUAAUAAAGAGUAAAGAAAAUCUUUUUUGAAUUUUUUAAAUAAGAUCCCCGAACCUGGAAAGAUUGCCUACAUAUCUCACUCCCGAGAGAGGAGAAUCAGGGGUGCAUAGUUCGUCCAGAUUGGACAAUUGAGGAUUAAAUAUCAAACUAAACCUUGACUUAGGAGACAUUACCAAAGACAAACGAUGAAAAACGUGAAAUCUUUUUGGGGAUUUUAAUUUGACACUUUACAUAAAAAUGACACCAACAACUAUGAAAGAAAAAUCUUUUUGGUAUUUUCGUUAUAUGAAAUGAACAAAAUUCUACCAUCUUUUUUUGAAUUUUUAUUUUAUAAAAUACUCCUAAAUUUUAUUUUAUUUUUGGAGUUUUCGAAUUGUGAAUGCUUGCCAAAGGAAACAAAAGGAAAAUCUUUUUGAUGUUUUUGAUAUUUGGGAAAUGAGUACAAAAAAGUAAAUAAAAUCUUUUUGAAUUUUGUUAUUUUGAGAAAAUAAAUGCAAACGAUAAAAAAAAAUCUUUUUUGAAUUUUUGGGUUGUGAAGAACAAAAGCCAUAAAGAACUCAAAAAAUAAACUAUGAAACUCUUUUUUGAUUCACCCUUUUUCUCUCUUUUUUUUUUUUCAAUUUUGCAUUGCCUACUCACUUUACUUCUAACACAUGCUUUCCCUCACAUCAGUCCAUCAAAUGACCAUGUUAUCCUCAGAGAUGCAACAUUUAGCACAUAGGAAUUCUUUAGAGGUGAGUCUCCUACAAAGGACCAAAUGAGACUCGCUAGGUCUCAAUAUGAUGCACAUAAACAUGACCUAAAGGCUGACCUAUGUUGGGAUCCACUAACAAGGCCGUUCAGGGGAUGAUAUGAUCGAUAGUGGUUGCUUUGCUUUCCACCUACUCCAUACAUUCGAUGGAUCCCCCUCCUAAAAUAAGGGUGACUCAGCUAGAGUUCGUGUACACAAUUUGUACUUUGAAACUUGUUGCAGAAAGAAUGACUCGAGUUAUGCACAUAAUGCCAAAUAUAAAGCGGUAACACACAAGCGAAAAACUGUAAACACGCAGCACGUAGGCACUCAAUAAUGAUAAAAUAAACAAAAAAUGAUAACAUAAGCAAUGUUUAUACUCCCAUAAUGUCAAACUAAGCUGAUACAACUCCAAAAUUAAGCUCGAAUUCUGAAAAAUCCCCAGUAAAGUCGCCAGAGCUGGCACACCUUUUUUUUUUAACUCCAAAAAAAUAUUUAUUUUAUGUUCGAAAGGGUUUUUAUUAAUAGACAAAAGAUGAAAAUUUAUUUCGAAAAAGGAUUUAUUUUCUUUCAAUUAAAUUCAGAGUCACCAUUUGUCAUAAAUCGGGUGUGUAAAGUCAUGAUAACGCACAACUUACACGUCAAUUUAGUUCAAGGCAGCCAUCAUCGAUAUAUUUACCCAACUUUUGGAGUCGGGGUCGAAUCCACAUGGAACAAUGUGAGUGAUGAUUAAACUAAUUUAAAACUAUAGCUACAAGUUUAAUUCAAACAGAUGAUAUGAAAAGAUAAAAUGGGGGUUUUGGAGAUUAGAAAAUAAUUGUUGGUCACUUUAGUUUCAGUGUUUGUAAUCUAGAGUUUAUGAAAACCAAAGUUAUGUCCACUAUGGGUGUUGGGAUUUGAUAGACGCUAGUAAUGAUUCAAGAUUCUUGCGAUAGGUAGGAGCAAUAGAUUAUCCUUGUUGAAUUUAUGCCUAAAUAUCUCUCGACCUACUUAAGCAUUUAACUACCUAAUUCUCUCAAACUUAGGGAGUUUAUAUUUCAUAACAGGAUGUUAUCUCUGGUUAAUUAAUCUUGCUACAACAUUACUUAUUAAACGGAGGGUUGGUAGCUUCCAAGUCCCUGUUGAUACUUCUCUUCUUACUAUGGUUGAUUUCUUAGUUCAAGAAAAUCACUAGUAAGCAGGACCUAUUGUUUGCAACCAAUAGAUAAAGUGUAAAGCAGAGGGAUUACCAAAAAGUUACUACCACCAUUAGAAUCAUGAACACUUAGUUGCAUUACAAACCCAAACUCAUAGAUCCCAUAACUCGGGUUAAGGGGUUUAGCUACUCAUACUGUAAAGCGCAAUAUAGCUUGUUGAAUUCAUAAUGCUAUGGAAUAAUACUUAUAGCAAAAGUGAAUAACAAUAGUUGUAUCUCGGAUUAAAUUGCAUUAGAAAAAUCUCGAAAAAUAAUAUGACAAUCUCUCAAAAGCUAACUGUAAACUUGUAUAAAAAACUAGAGAUCAACACGUGAAGUUCAAGUCCAGAAUGUCGAGUAUCAACCCCCAAAAAAACCCUAAACAAUUCUUCAAAUAGUUCACCAUAAUUAUGGAAAUAGAACCACAGAGUUUAGUAAUUUCUCGGGUAGGUGAUGACAUUUUGUGAUGCCUUAUCAGGAGUCUGACGACUUAUCACAGAUGUAGCCAGCUCCUCUUCACUUUUGACAUUCACUGCCUUAGGCUGACGAUAAAGCGUGAUGGCUUAUCAGAUCUUUGAUGACUUAUCACAGAUGUCGUCGAUGAUUUACUUCAGCUCUCAUGUUCUACCUUAAGCUAACGACGAUCUUGACGGCUUAUCAUAACUUCGAUGGCUUAUCACAUAUCAUCGUCACUUCUUCCAGCUGAAUCCCAUUCUCUAUUUAAAGCUGAUGAUGAAGUUGAUAACUUAUUAGAGUGCUGACGACUUAUCAGGAAUGUCAUCAGCCAUACUUCUCUUUUAUUUUCUUCAGAUUUUAACUCGUUUACUUCCAUCAUUGUUGGUUCUCUUGCAUCUUGACUUCCACUACAAAAUCAAAAAUAAAACAAUAAAAAACAACAAAAAUUACUUAAGACUUUGCGAUUAUUCUUAGUUAAAAGCCUCAAAUGUGUUAGCAUCUGCUCGCACAUCAACACCUUCAACUUAAAAUAAUUACUUGUCCUCAAGAAACUAAAACACCAUACUACGAUGCUUAACUAAGAGACACAUAAGAUACUUAUGACAAUUGAUUAUCAAGUUUAGCUCAAAACACAUUACCCUCUCUAUUUUCAAUCACUUUAAACCCAACUAUGUAAUAAAUGAAGAUCAAUAAUGUGACACAAGGGAAUCAGGAUAUGACAUCAAAUUAGCAACAAUAACCAUGCAUAUAUUCAAGUUACACUACCCAAACAUGUAAGAAGCUAGCAAUGCAAUCAAUGUGGCCUUACAACAAAGAAGUCCCUCUUCACUCAUAUAUGAAAUCAAGUAUGUCAAUGAGGGGACGGUCAAGAGACACUCACUCUCAAAAAGAAGUUCCAGUCAAUGUAUGCCAAAUACCAUAAGCUUGCCCUUAUUUUCAUUAAGAAGCUUUUCGACAGCUUGUAAUGUAGGCUUGGGGAUGGUAUGAUGCACAAGGAUAUUUAAGGUAACUAAGCCUCCUCGGCACUACAAUAUUUAUGGGGUCUCACUUAUCAACCUUUACCUUAUUUCUCCCUUUCUUGAUUAAGCAAAUUCAGGAUGGGGUUGAUAAUUUCGUCAUUCAUUUUCUUUUUUUCAUAACUUUUCUUUUCUCAUUCUUUUUCUACCACACCCAACCUUGCAUAUAUAUUUUUUUUAAUACCCUUCUUCAUACUCACUUUACAUCACUCACCCCUAUGAUAGCCCCCCUUAACUUAGGCUAUUUGCCUAAGUCAAAGUGAUCAAUAUCCAAGAAAGACCAAGGCAAAACAGGUUUAUUGUGAUACAAAUGGGAAGAUGAUAGGUAUAAUAAAAUGAAUAGGAAUUCAGGCUCAAAAUCAAGAUCAAGAGAUAUUAUUCACACAUGGAGGGUCAUUUAGGCUAAAAGUGGACUAAUAUCAACAACGGCCUUUGAUCCUUUCCUAAUUUCUAUCCUACAACCAAGGCAAGACAAACCAGGCAAGUUCUGGCUUUAACACACAACGGGAACUAGGUAGUAUCUCACACAGACAUGGCACAAAGGUACAUCAUAAGCUACUAUCCAUUCGGUUCAUGCAAUUGUUAGUAGUGAUUGUCAUGUCCCUAGUAUUAAUGUCAUAAAAAGAUUCACAGUAGUCACAUAUAGAUGCACAACACACAGUUACCAGAUAGACAAUUGGAGAGGUAUUUAUCAUUCCAAGAAACACAACAAAAAUAUGUCAACUGUCCUAGAUACUUAUUUUUCCCCCAAUUAACCACAACGCAUCAUAAAACAAACAAAAUAAGCCUAAACAUGCUGGCUCUACUAGGAAUAAGACUUCGGGGAAAAGAGGCACAACAACAAAAACCCCAAGAGGACAUCAACACCCACAAGUAGUCUCCCCUCAACAUAUAAUCAUACAUUGUCCCCAAUGCGUCAAGCCAAAACAAGAGAGUCAGAAAUAUACCUAUGGCACCAUGAGUGCAAAGAUCUGAUGUCAAUCAUAUAAUACGAAUACAAAUAAUAAAAUACCUUGGGUUGCCUCCCAAGAAGAGCCUAAUUUAGUCUCGUGGCACGACCCAACUCAGCUUUUCCCUCCACCUUGACGAUAUAAAUUUCACCCCAACUUAGAGUCCAUCUUCUUGCCUCAAUCAUAGGGGGUGGUACAAAAAUUAAGAAGUCGAGUAAUGGAUUGAGCGUGGUAAACCACUCAGCCUUAAAGUGAGGUGUGUUUUUAUAUUGCUUGUCUAAUGUAAAAUCAAGAAUAUAGGAUUCUUGUUCCUCAUCUUCACACUCUUCUACUAUUUUAAAUGAUUCUACAGAAAAGAUAUCAUCUAAACAUAAUAUAGAAAAGUGCUAACAAUGAGGCCCAAUAAAUCCUACUUCAAAAUUUACACUAUCUACUACACACUCACUUUUAUUCACCUUCUCAAUGUCAGUCUCAAAAUCAAGAUGAUAAUCGAGUGGUUGCAAUUCUUGAGUUUUCUCCUCAAAUUGGCUAAUGUCCUUCUCAUAUUCUUCUUUGUUUAGCCACUGUAAACAUGGUGGGAGUGGAAACUCCUUUAUCUCUGCCCACAACCGUUCUGGAUUCUCUAAAAUUCAUUUUCUCAAUUUGUUCACUUGAAUCGUGACUGCACACAUAUCUUUCGUAUGAUCACUUUGACAACAAGCCAAACACCAAGUUACAGUAAGUAGGACAGUAUCCACAUCAUAUUGUAAAGGUUCCGUCCAUGCACUUCCAGGUAAAUCUAGACAGCAAGCCUCAAAAUAUGGUCCCCCACAAUAAUAACAAGAAUCGUCAUCACUCAAAAAACCAUCUAUCCAGGAUGACAUCUCAAGAAAGGUGUGAGAAAAAUAAAAAUAAAAGAAAAUAAAAUAAAAAAAUAAACUGAAGAAAUAUUUACAAGUUGGAUUUCAAGAAAGUAAACUAAAAUUCUAAACCAACACAAUACACCAAAUUGUUCCCUGGCAACGGCGCCAUUUUUUAUAACGCUCAACUUACACAUCAAUUUAGUGCAAGGCGGUCGUUGUCAAUAUAUUUACCCAACUUUUGAAGUCGGGCUUGAAUCCACAGGGAACAAUGUGAGUGGCGAGUAAACUAAUUUGAAACUAUAGCUACAAGUUGAAUUCAAAUAGAUGAUACAAAAAGAUAAAAUGGGGGGUUUUGGAGAUUAGCAAAUAAUUGUUGGUCACUUUAGUUUUAGUGUUUGUAAUCAAGAGUUUAUGAAAAACCAGAGUUAUGUCCACUAUGGGUGUUGGAAUUUGACAGACACUACUAACGAUUCAAGAUUCUUGUGGUAGAUAGGAACAACAGAUUAUCCUUGAUGAAUUUAUGCCUAAAUGUCUCUCGACCUACUUGAGCAUUUAACUACCUAAUUCUCUCGAGCUUAGGGAGUUUAUAUUUCAUAACAGGAUGUUAUCUCAGGUUAAUUAAUCUUGCUACAUCAUUAAUUAUUAAACGGAAGGUUGGUAGCUUCCAAGUCCCUGUUCAUAAUUGGCUUCUUACUAGGGUUGAUUAAUUAGUUCAAGCAAAUCACUAGUAAGAAGGACCUAUUGUUUGCAACCAAUAGAUAAAGUGUAAAUAAGAGGUAUUACCAAGAAGUUACUACCACCGUUAGAAUCCCGAACACUUAGUUGCUUUACAAACCUAAACCCGUAGAUCCCAUAAAUCGGGUUAAGGGGCUUAGCUACUCAUAUUGUAUAGAGCAAUACAGCUAGUUGAAUUCGUAAUGCUAUGGAAUAAUACUUACAACAAAAGUGAAUAGUAAUAGUUGUAUCUCAGAUUAAAUUGCAGUAGAAAAAUCCCAAAAAAUAAUAUGAUAAUCUCUCAAAAGCGAACUGUAAACUUGUGUCAAAAACUAGAGAGCAACACGUGAAGUUCAAGUACAAAAUGUCGAGCACCAGCCCCAAGAAAACCCUAAACAAUACUUUAAAUAGUUCACCCUAAUUAUGAAAACAAAAUCACAGAGUUUAGUAAUUUCUCGAACAGGUGAUGACAUUUUGUGAUGCCUUAUCAGGAUCUGACAACUUAUCACAGAUGUCGUCAACUCCUCUUCGCUUUUGACAUUCGCUGCCUUAGGCUGAUGAUGAAGCGUGACGGCUUAUCAGAUUUUUGAUGACUUAUCACAGAUGUUGUCGAUGAUUUACUUCAGCUCUCAUGUUCUUCCUUAAGCUAACGAUGAUCUUGAAGGCUUAUCACAACUCCAACGACUUAUCACAUGUCGUCAUCACUUUUUCCAGCCGAAUUCCAUUCUCUGUUUAAGGCUGACGAUAAAGCUGAUAACUUAUCAGAGUGCUGAUGACUUAUCAGGAUUUUCGUCAGCUACACUUCUCUUCUAUUUGCUUCAGAUUUUAACUCUUUUACUUCCAUCAUUGUUGGUUCUCUUGCAUCUUGACUUUCACUGCAAAAUUAAAGAUAAAACAAUCAAAAAUGACAAAAGUUACUUAAGACUUUGCAAUUAUUCUUAGUUAAAAGCCUCAAAUGUAUUAGCAUCUGCUCACAUUUCAAGUCACCUUUGGAAAUUCUUUUUAAAACGAUUUGACUCUAAAAUUGAUCCGCGAACAAAGAUUCUGGUUAAGGAAUUCUGUUGACCGAGGGGGACGUAUUAGGUAUCCCUCAGUCCUGUGGUUCUACCACGGUCGCUUCAUGGAGUAUAUCAGCUAUUUUGACACUUCCAAUGUAUAAACCAGACAAAACACAUAAGACAAUCAAUCAAACAAACAAAACAAAAAAAAUCUAAAAUAUAGUGUCCAGUAUAAUUAUACAAUCCAAAAUAAAAAGUAUGAAAAUAUAAACCUACACUAAUCCUAAACUACGCUCCGAUACAUUACCCGAUGCCUAGAGCCUUGAUCACGAGCCUUCUUUGCAUACAUGAUACUUCGGGGCAUUCCCCGGACAUAUCAAUAUAAAUCCCUCGGGGUAUUCCCCAGCCAAAUGAGUACAAUUGAUCCAUGUGCGGUAAAAAAAAUCAUUCAACAAAUAUUCCAAACAUUUCAAAAUCCACAAGUUCUCAACUUUCGUCCCAACUUACUUCCAGUUGAGUUUAAAUCUUUCUAUUAUUCAAUUUAAACAAUCAAAUGAUCAAUAUUAACGACCUCAUAUGAUGAUCCAAGUAUAUCAAAAUCAACAAAAGCAAACUGCACACACAAUGAGUUUUACCACACAAAGUAUCACACAAAUUAAAAUUAACAUGAGAUGAGAAAUGGACCUUUACGCAAUUGAAAAUCCCUUUUGGAUUGAAAAUAUUCAUUCACCACCAUACUCGAAGCAACUGAAUGAGUCACUUUUGAUUGGAGAAGUAGAUUUUAAUCGAAAACCUCGACCAAGACUCAAAUUUGAAUGACGACUGCAAACUAAGGAUCCCAAUUGUUUUAA